rnacentral:rRNA from 1 species
GUUAAAAAUCUUGUUAAUGGUUUGGGGUUAAAUGUUUAUAAAUGAAAAAUAAUUUUUAAUUAUAAUUAGGUAAUUUUUAGUGAAUUUUUUUAAUAACUAUAAAAAAUAAGUACUGUAAAGGAAGGAUUGUAAUAAAAAUAAAAGUAUAAAUUAAAUUUAGUACCUUGUGUAUCAGGGAAAAUUUAUAUAAUAAAAAUAAUAUUUGAAUCUCGAAAUAGAAAUAGCUAAUUUUAUAAUAAAGUUUUUGUUAGAUAAAAAUUUUAAAUAUAAAAUUAAAGAUGAAAUGUUAGGCGAGUUCUAUUAUAUCUAGUUUUUUAAAAGGAAAAUUUAAUUUAAUUUUUAUAUUAAUUAUAAUAUAAAUAGAUAAAAUAAAAAGGGUAAGCUUUUUAUUAUAGAAGAUGAAAUAGUAAAAUAUUAGAUAACCUAAGAUCUAAGCUUAAAAAUAGCUAUGUUAAUAAAGUGUUUUAAUUAAUUUUUUUUAUUAAAAAAAAUUAAAGUAUUAUACUUUUCUUUUAUAUUAAAAAUUUAUUUAAAAUAGAAAAGAAUAAGAUAAAAUGAUUUUAUUAGUAUAAGUUUUAUUGUAAAAAGAAUAAAAUAGAAUAUUUAUUAAGUUAUUAAAAAUGAUAAUAAAUUAAAGGAAUUCGACAAAAGGUUUUCUUGCCUGUUUAUCAAAAACAUGUCUAUUUGGAGGUAUAAAAAGUCUGGCCUGCCCACUGAUUAGAAUUAAAAAAUUUAAGGGCCGCGGUAUUAUGACCGUGCAAAGGUAGCAUAAUCAUUAGGUUUUUAAAUGAGAUCUUGUAUGAAUGGUUUGACAAAGGAAAAGUUGUCUUUAAGUUAGAAUUUGAAUUUAACUUUUAAGUGAGAAGGCUUAAAUAUUUUAGGGGGACGAUAAGACCCUAUAAAGCUUUAUAUUAUAAUUGUAUUUAAUUAAAUUUUGUAUAAAAGUUUUAUAUAAUUAUUUAUUUUGUUGGGGAGACAUAAGUAAAAAUUGUAUUAACUGCUUAAAAAGUAAACAUAUAUUGGUGGAGAAAUUAUAGAUCCUAUUUUUAGAUUUUAAGAUUAAGUUACUUUAGGGAUAACAGUGUAAUUUUUUUUGAGAGUUCUUAUCGAAAAAAGAGUUUGCAACCUCGAUGUUGAAUUAAAUUACCUAUAUAAUGCAGUUGUUAUUCAAGGUGGUCUGUUC